UUGGCUUAUGAAUUUCUUAAAACUUUGGCUCGUGCCAAAACUCAUACUCGGUGAUACCUUGCGCAGGGCAUCUAACCGAGUCCGCCAAGGCUGUUAAAAUUUUGUGUACACUUAAAAUAUAUUUUUGUUUGAAAAAAAUACAGCCGUUCCUUGGCGUUGGCUGAGUUCCCCUUCACGUGGUGGUUUGGCGUGAAGUGAACCCUAAGCUUUACCCCAGGAGAUACCCUACGCGCCUCUCCGUUCGAGGUAAUAAUAUAAUGGAGUUUACCGUGCCCCUCUAAUAGGCUGGUCCACGGAACCCCCUCUGCAGUAAAUAAUUAAUAUAUAAUCCACCAAUCAAUAAAAUUCAUUCUAGCAUGACAUGGCAAUUUAUCGCAACCUAGCCUCUCAAGGCUGAAUACACAGUAUAAAUAAUUCUAACACCAAAAUCAGUUUAGCCAUUCAUGCUCAUUUAUUGUCAUAAGCCAUUCAAUUCAAAACCAUAAAUUUGCAACACAAACUAGCAGUCUCCAAUUACUCUAUUUUCAAAACCAAUAUUCGAUUUUCCAGAAAAUUUAUAAAAUCAUUUUAUAAAAUCACAAUUUCUCUUAAAACAUAGCAAUUUACCAUUUAAACCCAUUUUUCAUAAAAUCACACAGUUGUAUAAAACUACUCUAGAUAAUUAAGACGAUAAUAAGUUUACUCACAGUUUUAGGAGUAGAAAUACUCCUAUCUUCCGCCCUCGGGUGCAGUCUCUUACCCGAAACAAUUGACUCACCACCUAUCCAUAAUCCAUGACACAAAAUUCAAUAAAUUGUGUCAAUUUAUCAUAAAUUAUUUCAGGCUCUUAUCCAUGCGUAUGCACUAGAUAGGAUUUGAAAUGUCUAGACAAUCGCUUAAUUGCGGUGUCCGACCUAACUCGCCUAUACACGGUGUAAAUUCCUAAAAUCCCCAAUUCGACUCCAAUUCCAUCCAUUUCAAUUUCAAUUAUCCAAUUAUAUCCACAAUACCUCAAUGACUGUGAAUUUGGUCCAAUUUAUCAGUCCGGACUAUAAAUUACGCUUUUACCCCUAGUGGGUAAAAAUUUCAAUUUAUUGCACCGAAAAUUCCCAUUUAAUUUCCAACCUCAUAAUUCAUCAUUUUUCCACCCAAUUCUCUUAAAAUAAAGUCAACCUCAUCCUCACAUACCAUUGGCUAGAUUCGGCCUAGAGAAAUUCAUGGAGAAGAUAAAUAUUUUUCUUGUUGUUUUACUCAUAAACAUGCUAAACUAACACUAAACACUAACAUAGCUCAAAAUCAAAUUUAUCUAACAACUUUCUCUCUCUAAACCCAUAUGACCAGAAUUCAAAUCAUCCUCAAAUCACAUGAUUCAACCAUGAAAAAUGAUGGAAAAUGCAUGGGAAAGGUAAAGCACAAGACAAAUUUAAGAAAUGUUACCUUUUUUCACUUGAUUUUUGAAUUUCCACCUAUUUUCCCUUUAAAUUUCUUAGCUAGGGUUUUAUUUUCUCCUUUCUCUCUCUUGUUUCUUGCUUGGCCGAAUGUUGAAGAAGAAGAAUGGGUGGGCUGAUUUUUUUAUGCCUUUUUUAUUGUUUAAUGAAAUAAUAUUAUUUUAUUCAUAUUUUAAAUAUUUUAUUAAUUCAUUUUUUUUUUUAGCCAUCCAUUUGUCCUACUUUUUCCACCAUGCAUUCCCUUUGACUUAUCCAAGUCUUAAGUGAAAUUUUCAGAUUUUUCCAAAGUUUUGGUGGAGUAAAUUUUUUAAAAUUACACUUUUACCCUCGAACUUUUCAAAAAUUACAUUUUUACCCCAAAAAUUGAAAAUUUUCCAUCAUGCAUAAUUUUCACUCCUCAUACUCAUUUCACACUCCAAAUAAUUAAAUUUGAUCAAAAUCCUUUCAAAAAUUAAAUUUCUGAUUUCGGAUGGCAAAAUUACCAUUUUACCCUUUUACUCCAAAUUAUACCGAAAUUAAAAUUUUUGACGUCUAAACCUCAAAUCUUACUCCAAUAAGUCAAAUGGGGCCAAAAAUCUUUUCUAAAAAUUCCCAUUUUGUCCUCAAGUGGUAAAUGACCAUUUUGCCCCUAGAUAGCGAAAAUUUCGGUUUGACUCCAAAUUGAUCCUCGAACUCCGAAUUACCAUAUUAAACCAUUCUGGGACAUUAAAAUUCUUAAUUUCAUCGUAAAUUCUCUAUUUGAUCUAGUUCGAGGUUUAACUCAACUUUGUUGUACCUCUAGGUACAAUACCGACUUUUGUAAUUUUUUUUUUCGGGACUCUCUUAGCAUGCAAACAUGCUAUCCAUCACAUGUAUGUCAUGACAAAUAUUUUUAUAAAGUCAGGCUUGUCAUCUUCUCCCCCACUUGGAUCAACCAUAUGAUCCUUCUUCAUGACUGAUUUCGACAUUCGGCUAAAUAUUAAUAUUUUAAAAAUUUUAUCUUGUCUCCUUGGUACCUGAAAUACAUUAUUAUGCCUCACUUGACUUCCGAAUCACCUUUUAUCUCACAAAUUCUCCUUCGAUAAAAUUAUUAUUAUUUUAUUGUUAUUUUCUCACUUGCGAAAUAUUUUAUCCUAAACUACUCCUUUCGUCUCUUAUCACUUUUAAACAUUUUAAUUGACUUCAAUUUGCAUUCGCUCAACUUUAUUUAUCACCAUAUCAAAGUAUGGGGUACUUUAAUCUCCCCCACUUAAAUAGAAUUCGUCCUCGAAUUCCCGUCGAUGUUGUGUUAUCAAUCUCCUUCUAUGAUCCUACUCCUUGUUCCUUCUAUAAGAACAUUCAAUUUAUUCACCUCGUUCACCUUCAGUUCAAUUAAAUGCUUUAUUUAUGGCAAUUAUCAUCCUUUGGAACCAUAUCAAUAAUACUUUUCACAACCAUGAUCUCUUAUAUCGAGACACUAAGCAUGCCUUGAUCACCAUUAUUAAAUUUGAACCAUAACUUCACCUCAAUUAUACUGAUUUCGAUCACAUAUCAUAUUUACUUAUGUAUACCUAAUCAUCAUUUUAUUAAUUUGCUCCAUACCACAUUUCUCAACCUUGAUUCAUCUAUCUUAUACUGGUCCAUACCCUUCCUUUAAUAGAGUUCCAUUAAGAACUUAAACAAUUCAAGGUUUACCUUCAAAGUCAUUCAUAACUUUAAUCGUUCAUUACAUGUUCGUUAACACUUUAACUCACUAACCUCUCUGGACACUAUUUCAAAAUCUCCCAAUUACUGAUAACCAUUCUUCACUUUAGUUAGUAAAAUUAUCAAUUUCAUAUAUACAUAGAUACAUGCAUUUUCAAAUGUCAACAUCUCUCUUUAUAUAUAGGAAUCCAUGUGUUCACAUGCCUUGGACUACAUUCCCCCUUUAUUCAUCCGUAUCCCAAUCCUAGUUUCAAUAUAAUAAUUCUUAUAGUGCAUGUCAACCUUCUUAUUAUACUUGUGUAUAACUUCAUAUCAUUCAUAUCAUUUCCAACCAUAUGUUUGAGUUUCCUUAUACUAUAUAUCAUUCAUCACAAUGUCAUCUCCAUUGAAUUAUAAUCUAUUAUGCGUGUAUGCUUUAUAAUCCUAUUGAUGCCUCAAAGAUUUAUCUCAACUUGAUCAUUGCAUCUCAUGCAAUACCACAAUUCCUAAGAGUCAUCCUUUUGUCCUUAAUCAUCUUUCAUGCCUCUAUAUUACCUUGUAUCUUUCUUGCAUUACGAUAUUGAUUUGUCACUUAAGACUCGAACCCAUUUGAAUCAUGUAUGCCUUAAGCAUUUUCGAAUUCCAAUUUCCAUAAUAUAUUAGGAAAGUUUCAUUAUCUGACUUCAUUUUCAAGGUCAACUUCUAUCAUCCUUUGUUCCACUCCUUCAUAUGAACAUAACAUCAUUCUUCCUUAACUAAUUUAUAAAUUGUACUUGAAAUUGUAAAACUUAAAACUAGAUUCUCCUCAAGUAUUUUUCAAUACUAAUACUAAUAUCACUCUCAGCUUACAGCUUCCUUUUUAUAAUCACAUAACUUAGUGCUUGCUUUAACGAGAUCCAGAGCAAAACUUCUCUUGAGUAUUUCCUUGGGAAUAUCUAUCUUAAACUUAUGUCUCACAGCAUGUGAUCCCUUAACUUGUGAUUUAGCCGUUAGGCUUCUCAGCAAGUUUUAAAAAUUUUACGUUUCAUACUUGCUGUGUAUGAUUAUAAUCUCUUCUCAAAGAUGUUUAUGUAUUCCUAAAACACUUAAUCUUAAAGGUAUAUAAAUACGUACUCAUCCAUUCAAUCCCUAACUCAUCUUCAUAGGUUUCUAGGGUGCCACACAAUUAGCCUCAUGUUGUUACUAACCCUUGUCAUUUUACUGUAUCAAAACAGAUAUUACAAAUUCUCGUAAUGAUAUUCUAUAUAAACUGAUUUUCUAUACCAGUCUCGUAAUUCUUCCUUCACACUUUCAUUACUUGGUAUCUCAUCUCAAUAUAGUCAUCUCAAGAAUCUUUCAAUUUUUUUUUUUUUAAUUAUAUGCCUAUAUACAAGGCAAUAAAGAAGUUUUUCAAUUCAUUUGGGUAAACAUUCUCCAGAAUAUUUAAGACUCCCAGAUAACAAAACACAAUGACCAACAACCAAAAUUCAAUUUGUAAGCUCAUUAUCGUGUCACUCCCAUCUUACUCAUGCAUCAUAGGCGUGAGGUAUUCGGAGCAUUAUAACGUUGAACAGUCAAUGUUGAAGCACUAUAGCUAUUAGAAAUUUUCCCAUCAAAGCUAUUUGUCUGCAUUCAAAGUCACCACAUCAAUCAUUCUCAACCAGUGGUUUCCCUUCUAGAUAUAUAUCAUGAGUUCCAUAAGUAUAGGUACCUUCUAUUUUCUUGUCAUACACACUAAGCCAGAUUAAUACUUUCAUCUCAUGUCAUCUUUUGACUUUUAUCAACAUUCAUAAAAUUCCACCUCAUAACAUCCUUUCCAUACAGUGUAAUAAAUUCAUGAUACAUAUACCACUCCACACAUAAGUUGCUCACUAUCUACAACUUUCCUCAAAUUUAUUGUCAUCCCUAUCCAAUUAUCUUCUUUGUCUUAUACUUCAAUAAUUUUAUUAACUUUCGGUAUAAUUAACUACGAAAAUAGCCCAACUUUCUCCUCACUUUAUUCUCGUAGUCCUUACUGAAUCAAAAUUUUCUAUUCCCCAUAUUCCAUAAUUUAACUUCAUUUGGUUAUAUUUGUAUCCAACUAUUACCUCAUAAUGUCAUAACAUCACUGAAUAAUCCCCUUCAUGCUUAAAUUACAAUCAUCAACUUAAUUACGUUACCCAUUUCGAAUGUCAUUUAUAACCUUAUUACUUCCUUCUAUAACCUUCUUCAAUAAUUAUAUUACCAAUUUAUCUCUAUCAUACUAAAGAUUCCCAUAUACCUUCAGUUACUUAAACAGCCAUUUUAUAAUACAUUAUAGUCCUAUACUUUAAAAGCCAAACUAUUUUUACUUCUUUGUACAGAUCAUUAUUAUCUCUUUUACACAACAUCUACUUAGAGUUAAGGUAGUGUAAAAUCCUACGAAAAUAUUACAUGUCCUUGGGAUCAUCAUCUUAAUAUGAUCUUAUCCAAAAAUUCUUCCUACGAAAAUAUUACAUGUCCUUGGGAUCAUCAUCUUAAUAUGAUCUUAUCCAAAAAUUCUACUCCGAGUCCUCCUAAAGAUCCUCUUCCGGGUUUUCCUCCUUUUGAGACUUUUUCCUUUGCUUCUCAAUCCAGGCUUAUUGUAUUCUCCUAUAUUCUUCAUCACUCACCGGUGCAGCAUUUCUUCCACAACCAGGAGAAAAAUGUCGUACACCUAACACUUUUCUAAGGGGUUUACUUGCCAUUGUUACUUUCUCCUUAUCCUUUUCUGGUUGUUCCCUUACAUUUCUCCCACAGCCUGGUGGAAAGUGUUGGACUACUGUCACGCUCUUCCUAAAAUGAAUAUAUCCCUUUGCAAUUUAUUCCCUUGUCCAUUCUCUAGGGUGCUCUCCAGGUUGUUCCGAAAGGAAAUCUUGUUCAAUUUUCGGUGUACUGGAGCUACUCUCACUUUCAAAAUUCUGGCUACUAUCAAGGCUUUCCUUAUUAUGGACCCAUUUUGUUACGUUCAAAGAAAUUUUGUUAUUAGGAAUUCGGGAUGGACCACCUUUCGAAUCACCUAGAUCAGGGUGCCAUUUGCUUCUAGCCGUAAAAUCUAGAGAUCCCUCGCUAUCACUAAGAGAGGUAUCGAGACUACCACCUCUUCUAGACAUGGUGUGUAUGUCACCAGUGUACCUCAAAACCUAUAUGCAAUCAAAUAGUAAUUGUAUAAUUAUUUAUGCAUCUCAAAAGUAGGUAGAUUUCUAUAUGUAGAUGCAUAUAUUCUAUUCAAUCCAACCUAACUUAACUUAACUUAACUUAUCUUAACUUAACUGGACUUGGAGCCACGCAGUGUCAAUGUGGAUUUCUUAAAACAACCUUAAAAUCAAAAACUUUAAAAUCCAAAGCUUUAAAAUCAAAAUAUCUGAUAUUUAAACCAUGCUCUGAUACCAAUCUAAAUUGUCACGACCCGAAACUCCCCAUCGAGCCCGUGACAACCGUCGCGAAGCCUCGGCAAACAUUCUUCACCCCGAAUGUUGAUCGAAACCUCGCAAGGCUCUCGUAUCAGCUUGCGCACUUCCCCGGUGAGCAAUAGUUAUCAAAUAAUCAAAAUACGAAAGAUUACAAAUCAUUUUCAAAUCAUAACAUAACAUUUUUUUUACUCACAAGGGUAUUUUUGUCAUUUUUGUCGAAAACCUCGAAACUUGCUAAAAAUGUAGUAGGUAAGCCGAAAAUAUAUAUUUAAUAAUUUAAAAAAAAUUAAGUAUCUAAAACGCUCAUUUGAAGUGAAAAUUUGACCAUUUGAAUAUAAUAAAAAUAUUCAAUAAAAUAAACUAUUUUCUUGUAAAAUAAUUUUCAUAAAACUAUCGGUACAUGAUUCUUAUAGCGUAAAAGAUAAUUAUAUUCAUAUAUACUAUAAAGCAAAUAACCAAAGCAUAAAAUUUAUUUUACAGUGACACGUGGGCCCACAUCUAUCCAAAAUGCAUCGAAAGCUAGAAACCUACAGCUUUUACCGAUUCGAGUCCAAAUGAAGGUCCUUGUCAAAGUCAGCUAACUAUGGAAUUCCCCGAGCCUGAAAUGCGAGGAAAUGAGGGUGGUGAGAUUAUAAAAUCUCAGUGAGUAAACAGAUACCAUCUAAAGUAUCUAAAGCCGAGUAAAUGGAGACAAUUAAAAUAAGUCAUCAUACUGUAAUUUCAUUACCUUUCAAUUCAUUUCAACCAAAUAAAAUCAAUCCAUAUAAAUCGAGUAAUCAACUUCGCUUAUGAAUUUCUUAAAACUUUGGCUCGUGCCAAAACUCAUACUCGGUGAUACCUUGCGCAGGGCAUCCAAUUGAGUCCGCCAAGGUUGUUAAAAUUUUGUAUACACUUAAAAUAUAUUUUUAGUGUGAGAAAAAUACAGUCGUUCCUUAGCGUUGGCUGAGUUCCCCUUCACGUGGUGGUUUGGCGUGAAGUGAACCCUAAGCUUUACCCCAGGAGAUACCCUAUGCGCCUCUCCGUUCGAGGUAAUAAUAUAAUUGAGUUUACCGUGCCCCUCUAAUAGGCUGAUCCACGGAACCCCCUCUACAGUAAAUAAUUAAUAUAUAAUCCACCAAUCAAUAAAAUUCGUUCUAGCAUGACAUGGCAAUUUAUCGCAACCUAACCUCUCAAGGCUGAAUACACAGUAUAAAUAAUUCUAACACCAAAAUCAGUUUAGCCAUUCAUGCUCAUUUAUUGUCAUAAGCCAUUUAAUUCAAAACCAUAAAUUUGCAACACAAACUAGCAGUCUCCAAUUACUCUAUUUUCAAAACCAAUAUUCGAUUUUUCAGAAAAUUUAUAAAAUCAUUUUAUAAAAUCACAAUUUCUCUUAA
rnacentral:lncRNA from 1 species